rnacentral:rRNA from 1 species
AGAGUUUGAUCCUGGCUCAGAGCGAACGCUGGCGGUAUGCUUAACACAUGCAAGUCGAGCGAGAAAGUGGCUUCGGCCACGAGUACAGCGGCGGACGGGUGCGUAACACGUGGAUAAUCUGCCUUCAGGUCUGGGAUAACCCUGGGAAACUAGAGCUAAUACCGGAUAAGACCACAGGUUCCAUGGAACCAAGGGUAAAAGGCGGCCUUCGGGCUGUCUCCUGAAGAUGAGUCCGCGUCCCAUCAGGUUGUUGGUGAGGUAACGGCUCACCAAGCCGAAGACGGGUAGCCGACCUUAGCGGGUGAUCGGCCACACGGGGACUGAGACACGGCCCCGACUCCUACGGGAGGCAGCAGUGGGGAAUCUUGGGCAAUGGGCAAAAGCCUGACCCAGCAAUACCGCGUGAGGGAUGAAGGCCUUCGGGUCGUAAACCUCUGUCAGCAGGAACGAUGGGUCUCCGUGCUAAUACCACGGAGACUUGACGGUACCUGCAAAGGAAGCCCCGGCUAACUCCGUGCCAGCAGCCGCGGUAAUACGGAGGGGGCAAGCGUUGCUCGGAAUUACUGGGCGUAAAGGGUCCGCAGGUGGCCUCGUAAGUUGAAUGUGAAAUCUCAGGGCUUAACCCUGAAACUGCAUCCAAUACUGCGAGGCUUGAGUCCAAGAGAGGUUGGCGGAAUUCCCGGUGUAGCGGUGAAAUGCGUAGAUAUCG